rnacentral:rRNA from 1 species
UACAGAGGUGGCAAGCGUUGUUCGGAAUUACUGGGCGUAAAGGGCGCGUAGGCGGCCUUCUAAGUCAGACGUGAAAUCCCCCGGCUUAACCUGGGAACUGCGUCUGAUACUGGGAGGCUUGAGUAUGGGAGAGGGAUGUAGAAUUCCAGGUGUAGUGGUGAAAUGCGUAGAUAUCUGGAGGAAUACCGGUGGCGAAGGCGGCAUCCUGGACCAUAACUGACGCUGAGGCGCGAAAGCUAGGGGAGCAAACGGG